rfam:Schistosoma mansoni strain Puerto Rico chromosome 4, complete genome
AUCCAGCUGACGAGUCCCAUAUAGAAUGAAAGGCGUGUCCUAGAU